GACGUAGGGGGCGAGCGUUGUCCGGAAUUACUGGGCGUAAAGAGCACGUAGGCGGGACCUUAAGUCAGGUGUGAAAGACCGGGGCCUAACCCCGGGGUGGCACUUGAAACUGGGGUUCUUGAGGGCAGGAGAGGACAGUAGAAUUCCUGGUGUAGCGGUGAAAUGCGUAGAAAUCAGGAGGAAUACCAGUGGCGAAGGCGACUGUCUGGACUGACCCUGACGCUGAGGUGCGAAAGCGUGGGUAGCAAACAGGAUUAGAUACCCUGGUAGUCCACGCUGUAAACGAUGGAUACUAGGUGUGGGAGGUAUCGACCCCUUCCGUGCCGGAGCUAACGCAAUAAGUAUCCCGCCUGGGGAGUACGGUCGCAAGGCUGAA
rnacentral:rRNA from 1 species